rnacentral:snoRNA from 1 species
UACCUGUGUUUCUGUCUUUUGUGGAAUAAAACUUAAAUGAACAGGUGCAAAAAAAAAUCCUCUUUUUCAAUUCAUCACACAUUGUUUGGUAUGAGUUUUGGUACAUAAAAGAAGGAAUAUU